CAGGGAUGCACCUGAAGGGAAUAAUAAUAAUAUGCAGACCGCCAGGCCAAUGUCUGCACCCAGCCUGGCAUUUUACCAGCAGCAGAUUACAGGAUUUCCUCUCCGGUGCAUCUCCAGCUAUACUCCAGGAGCAGCGAGGGGUGGUUUUGUGACCGAGAUGAUCCUCCUGUGGAACCUCGUUGUUUGGCAUCAUCUAAAAGCUGUCGUAUCCUAUCUUGAUCAAGACCUUCGAAUUACCGCCAAGUGAGGCCGCGCGACACCUUCUUUGAACCGUCUGUUGAAUGUGAACAAGCCCGCUUCACACGGUGGUCUGCGAGGCCAAAAAAGAAGAAAACACAGUGAUGUUCCUGUCACUCAGGAGUAUUUCGGAGUAAUGUCGGAGGAUGAGGCUACAUUAAACAGAUGCUAGCACUGUGAGGAGUGACACCCUUGAAACGUAGGGAUUGGCAGAACAAACGAUGAGGACAAAGAGACUGCUCCAAAUAUUAACUCAGCCGUUAGAUUCUGGCCAACGUCCACAGGGCCACGUUCCGAGGAAACCAUAGACGGGACCCUGCACACAAAACUGACUCUUUCUCUGCUGGUUGCUCUCAGGUUUCUGCUUGCUCUGGGCAGAAUCCUGGGGGUCUUAGUUGUAGACCCCAUUUAUGGAGAUGGUCCUGGAGGUAUGGGCCAUUCUGACAUGCAAAUGGAAGGGAGGCAAUGACAUAAAAAGCAAACCUAUAUUAUGCACAAAAAAUUACCUCCCCAAAUCUCCCUACGCUGAGGAAGGUCUCACAGCAACACAGAGUAUUUCAGGGGAAGGGUAGGCCACAUGACAGGGAGCAGAGUAAUGAUGUAAAGAGACUCUGACAGAGGAAUGGAGAAAAAUGGGAGGUCGCCAGCAGAAAGUCACAUAAUGGAAAGAGUGGGGUUCCAGCAGCACAGAGUAUUUUAGGAGAACUGUGUGAUGAUCGGGUGGGACAAUGGCCUUUCAAAUCCUAUGAUAUAGGACUGCAUUCAACAGUGUCAUGAUGGAAGCCAUGGAAAGUGGGGGUUGUGAAAGACUGGAAGUUACAUAGUAGAAAGAGAAGAGUCCCAGCAGCACAAAGCAUUUCAGGAGAACUGUAUGAUGAUCGGAUUGGACAAUGGCCUUUCAAAUCCUAUGAUAUAGGACCGCAUUCAACAGUGUCAUGAUGGAAGCCGUGGAAAGGGGGGGUUGUGAAAGACUGGAAGUUACAUAGUGGAAAUAGCAGAGUCCCAGCAGCACAAAGUAUUUCAGGAGAUCAGUGUGUUGGCAAAUGACCUUUCAACUCGAUGACAUAGGGCUGCAUACAACAGUGUCAUGAAGGGAGCAGUGGGAAGUGAGGGGGCUUUACACGCUGGACGUUACGUAGUGGGAAAGAGCAGACUCCCAGCAGCACAGAGUAUCUCAGGAGAAUAGCAUGCUGUGACCAUCACUGGGUGUUUUAAGGCUUAAGUAUCAUUGCGGCCUCCUCCGGGGUGACACAGUAUAGGCACACAUCGAGGCGCCGUAAUAAGAGGUUCUGCAGGGGUAGGAAAUGUAUAAAAUGGUUGUAAACCGUCUCAGUAAUGAAAUAUCACAGUCUACAGUUUAAUAGGAAAAUAAAGCCCUCGCAGGAGCGGAAUCCGCCGUUACAUCUGAAUCACUGGCCCUGUGUCAGCUUCAUUUGAACGCUCUGUAAUAAAAUAAAGAAAAUAUAUUUAAAGUGUGUUCUCCGGUCCAAGGUAUACAGAGCGCGAGGACGCCGCAGUACGUGGAAGCAGAACGCAACACUUCUAGCUGGGGGAUAUUUCAAUGAAUACACGCCGGCCCUGCCAAUGUUUUUUUCCUAUGGAAUCUGUGAGCUCGGUGGAGGUUUGAUGAGUAUCGAUGUACAGCGGGUGGUGGAACCCCUGUAGGAGGCUCCCAAAGGCCAACCACUCCUCCGCCUUUUAUCCUUAUACCCCUGUUUAACUCCAGCAUAGUAUAUAGAUCACUUCAUAGUAUAUAUAUUUAUUUAUUUUUUUACUGGGAACUCCGUUUUUCACAAACAGAGCUCCAAAUCCCCUGCAGUGACACACAGUAAAAUUAUACAAUUGUAGUUCCCUGCAGUGGCCACUAGGGGAAGCGCUAUACAUUGCACCCAAUAGUACAGUAUGCAAGAUGCUCCUGAGCUCCCCUAGUGGUGGCUGCAGGCAGACAGAAAUGUAUCGAAAUUAGAAAUGUAUAGAAAUUAGAAUAUUGCGCAAAGUUCAUUUAUUUCAGUAAUGCAACUUAAAAGGUGAA